ACUCAACUAGCUCAGUCGGUAAAGAAUCUGCCUGCAAUGCAGGAGACCCAGGUUCAAUCCCUGGGUCAGGAA
rnacentral:tRNA from 1 species